rnacentral:rRNA from 1 species
AUUGAACGCUGGCGGCAGGCCUAACACAUGCAAGUCGAGCGAGCGGCGGACGGGUGAGUGAUGUAUGGGGACUGCCCGAUAGAGGGGGAGAACUACUGGGGACGGUAGCUAAUACCGCAUACGAUCGGAUAACACAUAUGGGAUUAGAGAGUUGGUGAGGUAAUGGCUCACCUAGGCGACGAUCCCUCGCUGGUCUGAGAGGAUGAUCAGCCACACUGGGACUGAGAAACGGCCCCGACUCCUACGGAGGCAGGAGUGGGGAAUAUUGGACAAUGGGCGCAAGCCUGAUGGAGCCAUGCCGCGUGUAUGAAGAAGGCCCUAGGGUUGUAAAGUACUUUCAGUCGGGAGGCGUUACCGACAGAAGAAGCACCGGCUAACUCCGUGCCAGCCGCCGCGGUAAUAC